GUCGAGGGGUAACAGGGAAGCUUGCUUCCGCUGACGACCGGCGCACGGGUGCGUAACGCGUAUACAAUCUGCCCUUAACUGGAGGAUAGCCACUGGAAACAGUGAUUAAUACUCCAUAACACUGCACGAUCGCAUGAGAGAGCAGUUAAAGAAUUUCGGUUAAGGAUGAGUAUGCGUGACAUUAGCUAGUUGGUGAGGUAACGGCUCACCAAGGCAACGAUGUCUAGGGGUUCUGAGAGGAUGAUCCCCCACACUGGUACUGAGACACGGACCAGACUCCUACGGGAGGCAGCAGUAGGGAAUAUUGGGCAAUGGAGGCAACUCUGACCCAGCCAUGCCGCGUGCAGGAUGAAGGCGUUCUGCGUUGUAAACUGCUUUUAUAUGGGAAGAAAAAGGUCUUGCGAGACAAACUGACGGUACCAUAUGAAUAAGCACCGGCUAACUCCGUGCCAGCAGCCGCGGUAAUACGGAGGGUGCAAGCGUUAUCCGGAUUUAUUGGGUUUAAAGGGUGCGCAGGCGGCCUAUUAAGUCAGUGGUGAAAUCUUACAGCUUAACUGUGAAAGUGCCAUUGAUACUGGUAGGCUUGAGUGCGGUGAAGGUAGGCGGAAUUCCUCAUGUAGCGGUGAAAUGCAUAGAUAUGAGGAAGAACACCGAUAGCGAAGGCAGCUUACUGUACCGUUACU
rnacentral:rRNA from 1 species